GUAACGCGUGGAUAACCUGCCUCACACAGGCCGUUAACAGUUAGAAAUGACUGCUAAUACCGCAUAAGCGCACGGUACCGCAUGGUACAGUGUGAAAAACUCCGGUGGUGUGAGAUGGAUCCGCGUCUGAUUAGGUAGUUGGUGAGGUAACGGCCCACCAAGCCGACGAUCAGUAGCCGACCUGAGAGGGUGACCGGCCACAUUGGGACUGAGACACGGCCCAAACUCCUACGGGAGGCAGCAGUGGGGAAUAUUGCACAAUGGGCGAAAGCCUGAUGCAGCAACGCCGCGUGAGUGAAGAAGUAUCUCGGUAUGUAAAGCUCUAUCAGCAGGGAAGAAAAUGACGGUACCUGACUAAGAAGCCCCGGCUAACUACGUGCCAGCAGCCGCGGUAAUACGUAGGGGGCAAGCGUUAUCCGGAUUUACUGGGUGUGAAGGGAGCGCAGACGGCACUGCAAGUCUGAAGUGAAAGCCCGGGGCUCAACCCCGGGACUGCUUUGGAAACUGUAGAGCUAGAGUGCUGGAGAGGCAAGCGGAAUUCCUAGUGUAGCGGUGAAAUGCGUAGAUAUUAGGAAGAACACCAGUGGCGAAGGCGGCUUGCUGGACAGUAACUGACGUUCAGG
rnacentral:rRNA from 1 species